AAGAGCAAUUUACCGAUGAAGAAGGCAACCUCAUCACUAGAAAAAUCACUCGGAAGGUAAUAAGACGGAUUGGUCCACAAGAGAGGAAGCAGGAUGAUGUGCAGGGAGAAGGCUAUAAGGUGAAAACAAAGAAGGAAAUCCGGAAUGUGGAGAAGAAAGCCCACUAGUGACGGUGACGUCAGUCCAGGACCACGCGUUCGUACUGCCAGUAUUGAGAAACUCACCAGAGAUCAGCAGGGAGGAGAAUCUCUAGCAAGAGCGGAGUGUGGAUCUGCCACCCCACACAUCAGUGACAUGUUUGGGGUUUUGGGUUUUUUUGGUUUUUUUUUUUAAUGCAGAAGGAUAAAGAAAAUCACCUUUUUUUUUAUUUAGCAUGAGCCAAUUUACAGAGCAUGGAGACUCACUUUCAUUCCCGGCGCUGACACGCGUGCACUAAGCAAGUGCAAUGUAAGAUACAAGAAGCCAUGUUGUUCAGACUCAGCCUCAAGUAAUUUGGUGUCA
rnacentral:lncRNA from 1 species